AUUAGAGUUUGAUCCUGGCUCAGAUUGAACGCUGGCGGCAUGCUUUACACAUGCAAGUCGAACGGCAGCGCGGGGCAACCUGGCGGCGAGUGGCGAACGGGUGAGUAAUAUAUCGGAACGUACCCAAGAGUGGGGGAUAACGUAGCGAAAGUUACGCUAAUACCGCAUACGAUCUAAGGAUGAAAGCAGGGGACCGCAAGGCCUUGUGCUCCUGGAGCGGCCGAUAUCUGAUUAGCUAGUUGGUGAGGUAAUGGCUCACCAAGGCGACGAUCAGUAGCUGGUCUGAGAGGACGACCAGCCACACUGGAACUGAGACACGGUCCAGACUCCUACGGGAGGCAGCAGUGGGGAAUUUUGGACAAUGGGCGCAAGCCUGAUCCAGCAAUGCCGCGUGAGUGAAGAAGGCCUUCGGGUUGUAAAGCUCUUUUGUCAGGGAAGAAACGGCGCCGGCUAAUAUCCGGCGCUAAUGACGGUACCUGAAGAAUAAGCACCGGCUAACUACGUGCCAGCAGCCGCGGUAAUACGUAGGGUGCAAGCGUUAAUCGGAAUUACUGGGCGUAAAGCGUGCGCAGGCGGUUUUGUAAGUCUGUCGUGAAAUCCCCGGGCUUAACCUGGGAAUUGCGAUGGAGACUGCAAGGCUAGAAUCUGGCAGAGGGGGGUAGAAUUCCACGUGUAGCAGUGAAAUGCGUAGAGAUGUGGAGGAACACCGAUGGCGAAGGCAGCCCCCUGGGUCAAGAUUGACGCUCAUGCACGAAAGCGUGGGGAGCAAACAGGAUUAGAUACCCUGGUAGUCCACGCCCUAAACGAUGUCUACUAGUUGUCGGGUCUUAAUUGACUUGGUAACGCAGCUAACGCGUGAAGUAGACCGCCUGGGGGAGUACGGUCGCAAGAUUAAAACUCAAAGGAAUUGACGGGGACCCGCACAAGCGGUGGAUGAAUGUGGAUUAAUUCGAUGCAACGCGAAAAACCUUACCUACCCUUGACAUGGCAGGAAUCCCGAAGAGAUUUGGGAGUGCUCGAAAGAGAACCUGCACACAGGUGCUGCAUGGCUGUCGUCAGCUCGUGUCGUGAGAUGUUGGGUUAAGUCCCGCAACGAGCGCAACCCUUGUCAUUAGUUGCUACGCAAGAGCACUCUAAUGAGACUGCCGGUGACAAACCGGAGGAAGGUGGGGAUGACGUCAAGUCCUCAUGGCCCUUAUGGGUAGGGCUUCACACGUCAUACAAUGGUACAUACAGAGGGCCGCCAACCCGCGAGGGGGAGCUAAUCCCAGAAAGUGUAUCGUAGUCCGGAUUGUAGUCUGCAACUCGACUACAUGAAGUUGGAAUCGCUAGUAAUCGCGGAUCAGCAUGUCGCGGUGAAUACGUUCCCGGGUCUUGUACACACCGCCCGUCACACCAUGGGAGCGGGUUUCACCAGAAGUAGGUAGCUUAACCGCAAGGAGGGCGCUUACCACGGUGGGAUUCGUGACUGGGGUG
rnacentral:rRNA from 1 species